rnacentral:tRNA from 1 species
GGUUCCUUAGUUAAAUGGUUAUAAUGCUGGCUUGUCAAGCCAGAGUUAAGAGUUCGAUUCUCUUAGGAACCGCCA